GACAAUUUAUAAUUCUUUUUGUUAUCUGUUUGAAUGUUUUUUUUUCUUAUGCAAAAAUAAAGAUUAUGUGAAUUAUAGAAAUGUGGAUGCAAUAGUAAUGCACUUGUGCAUAACCCUCCAAAAAGCCAACACCCCCAGAGGCUGGAAUCCAAAGUGGGACUGAAUCAGGUGGUGAGUGUUGCAAGUCAGUUCACUGGAAACCAGAACAACUAACACUGCAGUGGCUGGGCAAAACUGGCAGAGAUUCUCAGGCACAGUUGGAGGUAAAUAUACAGCUGAUGAUCACAAUGUAUGCAAAGAGCCAGCUGGAGGUCUGGCUCCACCCAGGGCGCAGUUACCCGCCCCACUCAGGGCAUGGUUACUUGCGUCACCUGGGCGUGGUUACUUGCCCCACCUGCAGCAGAAGACAGAAAAACAAGCAUGCCCAGAGCCUGACAAUAUUUCAGUAAUCUGUGCUUAUUUAUUUAUUUAUUUAAGAUUCUGAUGUUUAAUUAUUGCAGAUAUGGAUGUUUCCAGUAGCCCAUGUCUUGUAUCUCAAAUAUUACACCAGAAAUAAUUUGUUUGUUCUUGUUCAACCAAGUUAUUAGACAUUUGUGUAUGUAGCUUGUGUAUGAACAAACUGUCUGGUCAUGUGAAUGUGCAUUAUUUGACUAUAUGAAUAAUAAUAGCAAUAAUAAUUAGUAUUAUUCUUAACAAUAGGAAUAGAAAUAAUGAUAAAAGAGUGGGUCUAUGUGGGAACUGGGAAGAAUGAUCACCCUAGAUGCUGGGGAUGGCACAGGGGAACCCUCAUUGGUCGUACUGUGUUAUUUCAAACAGGGGGAGGUGUCAUUAUUGGUCAGGUGAAUAGUGAACAGAAUGGAUGAUCAUGGUGUUGUAAAAGUCCAGACCUUGGCUUGACUGAAACGCUGUGAUGGGACUUUAAAAGAGCUCUGCAUAAACACAAGCCUGCAAACGUCAGUGAUCUGAAGCAAUGUUGGAAAGUUUCUGUAUAAAAGGCCCCAAAGUUCACAGAAUAGUUUUAUUGGUGUUUAUAAGUUUAUAUAAGUUCAUUUAAUUUUCAACCCUCUCCAAUUUGGGCCAGCCCACCGUCUAGUGACAUCAUCCGGUUAGUAAGGUGGGCAGUUUAAUGUCGGAUGAGCAGUGUUGGUCCGGAGGGGGUGCACUGAUUCCUGGGGAAUGUUAUGUGUGCGUAAAUGACAAAAAACCACACACACACACACACACACACACACACCUAUGUACACCCGCUGUGUUUACAGCCCCAGAAAUUGAGUGGUGACAAUAAAGUGCCUCAAACAGAACCUCAAGCUCCCUUCUUCUUUCCUACUCUGGGACAAUUUGGCCUUAAGUGGUGUUCUGGCCGACACACCGGAGUGACCGUAGUGCUCAAAGACUGAAUCAGUGCCACAGCCGUGCCCAUCUUUGAUAUCUCCACUACA